rnacentral:rRNA from 1 species
AGUGAACGCUGGCGGUAGGCCUAACACAUGCAAGUCGAACGGCAGCACAGUAAGAGCGGGCUCUUACGGGUGGAGAGUGGCGGACGGGUGAGGUAUACAUCGGAAUCUACUUUUUCGAGGGGGAUAAAGUAGGGAAACUUACGCUAAUACAGCAUACGACCUACGGGGGAAAGCAGGAGAUCUUCGGACCUUGCGCGAUUGAAUGAGCCGAUGUCGGAUUAGCUAGUUGGCGGGGUAAAGGCCCACCAAGGCGACGAUCCGUAGCUGGUCUGAGAGGAUGAACAGGGACACUGGAACUGAGACACGGCCCAGACUCCUACGGGAGGCAGCAGUGGGGACUAUUGGACAAUGGGCGCAAGCCUGAUCCAGGCAUACCGCGCGGGUGCAGAAGGCCUUCGUGUUGGAAAGCCGUUUUGUUGUUAAAGAAAAGCAGCAGGUUAAUACCCCGCUGUUCUGACGGUACCCGAAGAAUAAGCACCGGCUAACUUCGUG